UACUUAGUAGUUUAUAGAAAACCUUGGUUUUGCGUACCAAAAAAGGAAUUUAUUCCCUAGGUGG
rnacentral:tRNA from 1 species